rnacentral:rRNA from 1 species
UACGGGGGGAGCAAGCGUUGUUCGGAUUUACUGGGCGUAAAGGGCGCGUAGGCGGUCAGCACAAGUCAGUUGUGAAAUCUCCGGGCUUAACUCGGAAAGGUCAACUGAUACUGUGCGACUAGAGUGCAGAAGGGGCAACUGGAAUUCUCGGUGUAGCGGUGAAAUGCGUAGAUAUCGCUUGGAACGCCAACGGUGAAAACAGCUCGCUGGGGGUGUGCUGACGCUGAGACGCGAAAGCGUGGGGAGCGAACAGG